rnacentral:rRNA from 1 species
UACGUAGGGGGCAAGCGUUGUCCGGAAUCAUUGGGCGUAAAGAGCGUGUAGGCGGUUCGGUAAGUCCGUCGUGAAAGUCCAGGGCUCAACCCUGGAAAGCCGAUGGAUACUGCCGGACUAGAGUCCGGAAGAGGCGAGUGGAAUUCCGGGUGGAGCGGUGAAAUGCGUAGAGAUCCGGAGGAACACCGAAGGCGAAGGCAGUCUCCUGGCAAGUUACUGACGCUCAGGUGCGAAAGCUAGGGGAGCGAACAGG